GACGAACGCUGGCGGCACGCCUAACACAUGCAAGUCGAACGGACUUAAACGGAGCUUGCUCUGUUUAAGUUAGUGGCGGACGGGUGAGUAACACGUGAGCAACCUGCCUUUCUGAGGGGGAUAACGUUUGGAAACGAACGCUAAUACCGCAUAACAUAUAUUUAUCGCAUGAUAGAUAUAUCAAAGGAGCAAUCCGCAGAAAGAUGGGCUCGCGUCUGAUUAGCUAGUUGGUGAGGUAAUGGCUCACCAAGGCAACGAUCAGUAGCCGGACUGAGAGGUUGAACGGCCACAUUGGGACUGAGACACGGCCCAGACUCCUACGGGAGGCAGCAGUGGGGAAUAUUGCACAAUGGGGGAAACCCUGAUGCAGCGAUGCCGCGUGGAGGAAGAAGGUUUUCGGAUUGUAAACUCCUGUCUUCAGGGACGAUAAUGACGGUACCUGAGGAGGAAGCACCGGCUAACUACGUG
rnacentral:rRNA from 1 species